UGGCCUAAUAAAAAACCAGCACGAAAGAAAGGGGUCGAACAUGCAAAUAACCCUUCACCGCAAAGACUCGCGGGUCCUGAGGGUUAGGAAUCGGCUCGGAUCGGGGCUUGUCCAAACGAUGUCGUUUUUAAACCAUAAAGAUUGGUUUAAACGGCAUCGUUUCUGUUACCAUAAAAAAGGCUAAACCAUGCCUUCAUUCAGCCGAAACCCUAAAGUAACCCUAGCCUUUUCCUUUUCAAUCCUUAAGCCGACCCUUAACACUCCUCCAAGAACUGAUCCGCCACCAUGAACAAAGACCAGCCCGUCCAAGCCUCAGAGUUGUUUUUCAGCCUUCAGACCCCUUCUAUAUUUCGAUUUCGACAAAGAAGAAGAAGUUUCAUGGCGCAUUUACAAGGUACGGAGUACGGGGCUGUGCUGGAGCUUGGCGUGAGGCGUACAAAGGCGCGCGUAGUGGUCGUACGGUGCUGAAGGCGCAUGGAGGCUGAACGUGGCUGUGGCGCUAAGCAAAGGCUAGGGUUUGUCUUAGCUGAGAUUUGGUUUAGGCAUUGGGCCUAUUGGGCCAUCGGGUUUUGGGUUAGGGGUUUGUAAUUGGGCUAGUUAUUCGGGCCUUGGGUCAUGUAAUUGGGACAUUUUAAUGGACUGUCAACAUUUGAUUUAAUUUUAA